CAGCGGCCGCGUCACGUCCCACGAGCUCAGCUCCGUCGGGGACAGCCUGAGCAGCGCGCGAUGCAGGCGGAAGGAUGCGGGGAGCCCCUUCGUCAGGUGUUCGUAGAGUUUCCGAAACUCCUCGAAUCUGGAGACAUCCGUACCGGAGCGAGCUUCUGAGGGUCCCGGAAAGGCCGGGAGGUGCUCCUGGGCCAAAGACAGGGCACCUCCCGAAGGCAGCCAGCAGAGCAUCAGCAGCAUCAGCAGCAUCAGCAGCAUUGGUGGUGUGGGUCCAGGCCCAGGCAUGCCUGUGCUAGCUGAGCUCUGAACUGAGACACCGGACGCUGCUGGACUGGCCUUUAUAAUCCCCGGACUUUGUCCGCCCCCGCCUGCCUGGUCCCUUCCGCUCUGGGUGCAGAGUAAACACUCCAGGGACCAUA